CAAUAGCGUAUAUUAAAGCUGUUGCGGUUAAAAGCUCGUAGUUGGAUUUCUGUCAAGGACAACUGGUCCGCCCCUCGGGUGAGCACAUAGUUUGGUCUUGGCAUCUUGUUGGAAACUGUUGCUGCACUUGGUUGUGUGGCGCAGUGUCCAGCACUUUCACUUUGAGGAAAUUGGAGUGUUUCAAGCAGGCACAUGCCUUUGGACACAGUAGCAUGGAAUAAUUAGAUUGGGCUUUUGCUCCAACUUGUCGGUUUCUGGAGCUGAGGUGAGAAUUAAUGGGGAUUGUUGGGGGCAUCCGAAUUUAGCCGUCAGAGGUGAAAUUCUUGGAUCUGCUAAAGACGGACAACUGCGAAAGCGUUUGCCCAGGAUGUUUUCAUUGA
rnacentral:rRNA from 1 species